AUCAUUAAUGAUUCGUCUUUUUGGAAUUCUAGUUUUUGGUGUUUUGAUUGUUUGGAUUGUUGUUGUUUCUUUUAAGCUGUAAAAUAAAGGUUUGUGUGAAAUUAGUUUGAUAAGUAAGGGAGAUAAAUAGACGAACACAGAUCUUGGGUAGAAAAUAUUUUUGAUCAUUGAUGUUAGCACAAUAUAGACAAUAUGAAGGGAAUUGUGUGUUGAUUGUUUCUUACGGUUCAAUGAGGAGACAGAUAGCGAGUCGAGUUGUUUCUAUGGUGAGGUCAGAGCCCUGAACAGAAAGGAUUUUCCCAACCACAUCUGCGAGUUUAAAUAUCAAUUAUGAUAUCGAAACAUAAUAUAAACACAGCUGCGAUAUGAUAAUAUACCUGGGAGUUCGACAUUUGUAUUCGCAAUCACUUGGAGAUU
rnacentral:lncRNA from 1 species